UUACGGCCAUAUCACGUUGAAACAUCGGUCCCCGUACGAGCACUGAAGUUAAGCAUCGUCGAGCCUGAUCAAUGUCGGGUGACCGCUUGGGAAUACCACGUGCU